CCUACGGGGGGCUGCAGUAGGGAAUAUUGGACAAUGGGCGAAAGCCUGAUCCAGCCAUGCCGCGUGGUAGAUGAAGGCCCUCUGGGUUGUAAAUACCUUUUAUCUGGGAAGAAAUAUCUCGUUCUCGAGAAACUGACGGUACCAGAUGAAUAAGCACCGGCUAACUCCGUGCCAGCAGCCGCGGUAAUACGUAGGGUGCAAGCGUUAACCGGGUUUACUGGGUUUAAAGGGUGGGUAGUCGGUCAGUUAAGAAAGCCCCGAGCUUAACUUGGGAAUUGGCAUUGAUACUGUUUUUCUUGAAUACGAUUGAGGUAAGCGGAAUGUUGCAUGUAGCGGUGAAAUGCUUAGAUAUGUUACAGAACACCAAUUGCGAAGGCAGCUUACUAAGUCGUCAUUGACGCUGAGGCACGAAAGCGUGGGGAGCAAACAGGAUUAGAUACCCUGGUAGUC
rnacentral:rRNA from 1 species